UGGUUGAGGAUGAUAACUAAAUGAAGAGAGAGAAACUGAGAGCGAAAGGAGUGAGAGAGAGAGAGAGAGAGUGUUCCAGAACCUGCUCCCUCGAAUCAAAUUUUUAUCCAAAAAGAAAACCUUGGGAGACAGAGAGAGGAGAAAUCACACAACCUGAGACCAAGCAGUGAUUUUCAUGGCAAAAUAAUGCUCAGCUGGCGAUUAUGGACCGUGGCUAUGAUUUGUUGAGCUUCUUUUAGUUGUGAAACUGAAGCACUCUCUUUCCAAAGACUACCGAUCACACAUGCAGCAGAACAACAUCCUGACGAGGUCAGAUUUUCAAGGUUCGAGGACAUGAAAGCAAACGUUCAUAAAGCUGCACUCCAAGUUAUGGAUUCCUACUUCUUUUGCUUGAUUGGAUUUAAUUUUAUAUGUUUUUUCAAUUUAGGUAUAUCAUAUUUUUGCAAGUGUUAUUUCAGGUUCACUAUGUGAUUGUGUCAGUUAAUUUAGCUUAAUUGUGUUAUUUCAACAUAUCUAAACUGGGUGUUUGCUUUUUGUUUCAAUUUUUAUUUUUAUUUAGAAUUUUAUUUGGUAGUCAUGCUUGGAAAAUUGGAAUUGUGAUAUAGGGUGUUUUAUUUGUUACCUAACAUUGAUUUUUUUUUUCUUGCUUAAAAGGGUGUUCACUAAAACUAAGUAAGCUAAAAUGUCAGAUGAUAUAGAAGGUAGUAUGAAUAACAAAAAUUUCAUUAUGGAUGGAUGCAGGUAUUUGAUGAAGAGCUUCUAUUACAGCAUAUGACAACAUUAAUUGCGAAAAAUUAAAUAUUGCUACAAUGUUGUAGCAAAACUCGGUUUGUUAUUGUUGAAGGAUGAUAUUUGUAACUUGUAAGCAUUCUAAGAAGUUUUUAUUGAAUGGAUAUUAUUUUUAACAAA